rnacentral:rRNA from 1 species
UUUAAAAUAUAAAUUAAAUUUAAAUAAAUAUGAAAAAAAUUUUUAAUAUAAAAUAUUUAAUGGGGGUUAAAGUAUUUUAUAAAGAAAAAAUAAAAAUAUUUAUAGUUAAUUAGUAUUGUAUAAGAAAUUUGAAAAAUAAUGAAAUAAAAAUUUUAAUAAAAGUAAAUUUAAUUUAUUGUAUCUUGUGUAUCAGAGUUUAUUAAAAAAUAAUUUUUUAGUAAAUUAUUUCGAAUUUAAAAGAGUUAAUUAAUUAAAAAAGUUAAUAUUAUAUAAUUAUUUUUAAUAAUUAAUUGGAAAUUAAAAGUUAAUCGUUUUUAAAUAUAUCUAAUUUUUUUGGAAAAAAAUUUAAUUUUAAAUUAAUAAAAAGAUAAUAAUUAAUUAAUUAAUUGUUAAUAAAAAUUAAUUUAAUAUUUUAAGGGAUAAGCUUUAAAUUAAAUAGUUAUAAUUUUUUUUUAAAAAAAUUAAUAUUUGAAAUUUUUAAAAUUUAUAUUUUUUAAAAAUUAUAAUUUAUUAUAAAUAAUUUCAUUUAAUUAAAAUUUAAUAUUAAUUUAAUUUUUUACAAAAAUUAAUAUUUAGAAUUUUUUAAAAUAAGAAAUAAUGAUAAAAUUAGUAUAUAAAUUUUAAAAAUGAAAAAAGUUAUUAAAAUUAAUUAAAAGGAAUUCGGCAAAAAUUUAUAUUCACUUGUUUAUCAAAAACAUGUCUUUUUGAAUUAUAAUUUAAAGUCUAAUCUGCCCACUGAAUUAAUUUAAAGGGCUGCAGUAUUUUGACUGUACAAAGGUAGCAUAAUCAUUAGUCUUUUAAUUGAAGACUUGUAUGAAUGAUUUGAUGAAAUAUAAACUGUCUCUUUAUUAUUAGUAGAAUUUAAUUUUUUAGUUAAAAAGCUAAAAUUUUUUUAAAAGACGAGAAGACCCUAUAGAGUUUUAUUUUUGAGUUUUUAAAAAUAUUUUAUAAAAAUUAUAAUUUUUUAAAAAUUUAAAAAUUUUGUUGGGGUGAUGAAAAAAUUUAUUAAACUUUUUUUAAGAAAAAUAAAAACAUUAAUUUAUGAAUUUUUGAUCCAUAAUUUAUGAUUAUAAGAUUAAAUUACCUUAGGGAUAACAGCGUAAUUUUAUUUUUUAGUUCAAAUAAAAAUUAAAGUUUGCGACCUCGAUGUUGGAUUAAGAUAAAAUUUAAAUGCAAAAGUUUAAAGUUUUGAUCUGUUCGAUCAUUAAAAUCUUACAUGAUCUGAGUUCAAACCGGUGUGAGCCAGGUUGGUUUCUAUCUUUAGAAAAAUAAAAUAGUUUAGUACGAAAGGAUCAAUUAUUUUAAAUAAUUUAAUUUUAUAGAAUAUUAUUAAUAUUAUUUU